UACGUAGGGUGCAAGCGUUAAUCGGAAUUACUGGGCGUAAAGCGUGCGCAGGCGGUUGUGCAAGACAGAUGUGAAAUCCCCGGGCUUAACCUGGGAAUGGCAUUUGUGACUGCACGGCUAGAGUGUGUCAGAGGGGGGUAGAAUUCCACGUGUGAGCAGUGAAAUGCGUAGAUAUGUGGAGGAAUACCGAUGGCGAAGGCAGCCCCCUGGGAUAACACUGACGCCUCAUGCACGAAAGCGUGGGGAGCAAACAGG
rnacentral:rRNA from 1 species